UGAUGUGUGGUGUCCAACUCCAGGCCAGU
rnacentral:piRNA from 1 species